GAGUUUGAUCGUGGCUCAGGACGAACGCUGGCGGCGUGCUUAACACAUGCAAGUCGAACGAGAAUCUGCUGAAGGAGGAUUCGUCCAACGGAAGUAGAGGAAAGUGGCGGACGGGUGAGUAACGCGUGAGGAACCUGCCUUGAAGAGGGGGACAACAGUUGGAAACGACUGCUAAUACCGCAUGACGCAUAGAGGUCGCAUGAUCUUUAUGCCAAAAGAUUUAUCGCUUCAAGAUGGCCUCGCGUCUGAUUAGCUGGUUGGCGGGUAACGGCCCACCAAGGCGACGAUCAGUAGCCGGACUGAGAGGUUGAACGGCCACAUUGGGACUGAGAUACGGCCCAGACUCCUACGGGAGGCAGCAGUGAGGAAUAUUGGUCAAUGGGCGAGAGCCUGAACCAGCCAAGUAGCGUGAAGGAUGACUGCCCU
rnacentral:rRNA from 1 species